CCAGGUUCUGUUCCAGCUCUGUUCCUGGGUGCAGGGGUAGGAUCUGGGCUCCUUGUGCUGCUGUUACUGCUGACAGGAGGAGUGCUGAAGUGUCUGCAAUCCAAACGAGACCCUGCUGUCCAGACUGAACCUGUGUACACCACGGUGAAUAAGUCCAAUCAGCCUACAAAACAACAGGAAGACACCCUCACCUACUCAGAAGUCAACACUGCCCGUGUCACCAAGAAGAAAUCCAGAUCUGAACCUGAAGACAAUGUAACAUACGCAACAGUAAAGAAUAAAGUUUAGUAUGGUAGCAAUGGUAAUCUAAUGGGAAUACAUAGCAUAGGCCUGGGGAAAGAAAUGGAAACCGCAGAUUAAAAGUGCAAAUAUCGAUAACCUUUGAAAGGGGUUCAAACCAGACGUUACAUCCUGAAUCAUUCCUGGACUAUCAUUUUAUAUACAGUGUGUGUCAGCUUAGAAAACACAGGUGAGGUUUGGUGGGUUCAACUUAAAAAUGAAUUAUCAGAAAAUUCUGCACAUCUGCCAGUGUGCUUGAGAGAGGCCCAGGACUGAACAGCUUGUAAGUCGUUUAGAUGUGUAAAUUAUAUUCUGUCCUUUCAAAAGAACCUGAUAACAGUUUUGAGAACCUAAUUUGUUGUGAAUGGAAAUCAGUAAUGAUUCUUAUUUCAUGUUUUUCAUGUGGUUUCUGUUCAUACUGUAAAACAAUUAAAUUUAUUUUAAUAACCAGCAGUGGGUUACACAGACCCCAGUUAGCAGCACUGCUAGAUUACCUUACCUAAGGGACACAGGUAGUCCAUGAUUAGUGCUAAUGUGAGUCUAAACAAUCAACCACAUCUCUGAGCUACAGCCCCUUCAGCAUUGCUCUGUAUGUAUUUAACUUCAUUGUUAUAAAGUCUACAAUAUGUAUUUGUGUGGUUGUGUUGUCUCUUAUCUAUGAUCUCAGCUCACUGUUUUUUUUUUCAUAAAGGCCACCACCACCGGACAUGUUUUGUAUUGAUGGUCUUUUAUCAUUUCUGUUUUAAAUACUGUGGUUUGCUUAAGAAAGGUUCUCUGUCAUUCAUGUCACCUCGCUAUGCAUCCUAAAAUUAAACACUGCAUACGCCUUGCACAGUGAGUCUGUGAGUAGCAUUGGCUUUCUCAUUCUUCUGUCUAACGGCUAAAAAUAAUUCAUUUCUGUUUGUAUAUUAGUCACAUCUAUAGAGAUGUGAAAAGAAAACACAGCAAAGAUAACGGCUCAGUAAAGAUAAUGGCUCAGUAAAAUCCUGUGAGCUUCAGAGAUCUGUACUAAAGUGUCUCUCAUUCCAAGGGUCAGAGCAACAUGCUGUACUAUCUCAAGUAAGUAGGUCUCAUUAGCAUUACAUUACAGCACAAGUACUGAUCAUAUGAACACGACAUGACAGGGAACUAGAAACGUGUGCUAUGUUUAAUACAGACUGUUUAAUUUAGCUUAAAACAUGGAAAACGAUGAAUACAUUGAAGUGCUAUUAAAAACAAUAGAAAUACAUUAUUCUACAAUAGUCAUUUGUCAGUGCCUGUAUUUCUUGUUGAACUGGAGCUGUGCCAGUUCCACUGAGGUUUCAAAUCUUUAUUAAUAGUUACAGUUGUCUCUUGGCUGUGAUUGUCAAUAAAGGCUGGUAUAUGUUGUUCAGAAUGUGAACUGUCUUGAUUUCUCUCAAAGACUGAACUGCAAAUAAAGAAAUGCGCUGUGAGAAGAAUCACUACACAUUACAUGGGGGAGACUCCUCACUGCCCCUUCUGUUCUGCAAUGCCAGGGUAGAGCAUGUCUCAGAUAAGAAUGCAGUAAAAAAAGGGCAAACUCCCAUCUUUUGUGGGCUUGUGUAGCAAUGAGUUAUCAACACUGUCCAAGUUAUAUUAUUUGAAUAUUUUAAAAAUCAAUGAUUCUAAUAUUAAACCAAUGUGUUCAUGUUGUGAGUUCAUAGUACCAGAACGGAAAUGUCUUUAGCAUAUAAUUAACAUAUUCAACGAUUCAAAAUGUUGGUGGAAUGGAUUCCAUGAUCCUAACGGCAAGCACGAUCUCGCUGAUUCCUUUCUCAACGUCUAAGAAGAUAAUGAACGGGAAGCGAUAAUUAGCUAAGAGCCCUAAUUGUAUGCCCAGUUAAAUUUAAUAAACUGUAUAUUUACCACACUUUCUCGUAAGGGGAAAAUUCAAACAGGAUUCUGUGAUGCAAAAACAAAUCAUGUCUCAAACUGAUCCUUUCAGGAUAUAAAGUUGAAUGAAUGCAAUGUUCCUUCCGAAGCAAGGUGAUUUUGAAGACACAGCUUUGAAGUUGUUAAGCGUUUAAGGUACAGAAAGGUUGUUUGAAACACUUUGGCUAAGUAGAUGCAGGAUUCAUUGUCCAGUGAUUCCUGGUUUUACUUGUAGUUUUAAGUUGCAAUUUUUGCUAAUCUGUAUAGCAGACUUUCAAUUACCUCAGACUUGCUGUUACGCACAGCUGAUGUUAGCUCCACUUUCAAUAGCCCAAGUUAUUGGUUGAGUUGCUGAAAUGUACUUUUGUUCCAGUCAAAUUUGCUUUCAAUUAGAGAUUAAAUGAUGCAGUGCUUCAGUAGAUUCUCCCUGGAUGUUUGUAAUGCUCCUGCAUCUGAUUCUUCUGUGUCUGAUGCCUUGUUCUCUCUGGAUGGUUCUUUUGUUUCUGAACCAGCUCUCUUUUUAAGCCGUGCGUGCUGGUUUACCACAACGACCUGCAGCUGCAGUGAACUCAAUCAGCAGUACUUCAAGAAGUCCUUGUGCUCAAAUACAUACCAGUGUUUCACAAAGCUAAAAUAAUAAUGCUCAACCAAAUCAUAUAUAAACACAGGCUCAAAUAAACAUAUGCAUGAUAAAUAAAAACAAUGCAAUUAUGAGUGAUUAAAUCAAAGAAAUGCACAACUACUAAAGAAAAAGGAACGUUCCAUUAAUUACAUAAUGAUACUCUCUUGCUGCUGCUGCUUUCAGCUAAACUAACAAAACUACAGACCCGUUGAGCUCAGCGGAUGUUAUAUUCUGCACUUGCUUAUGCUUUUGUGCUUUACCGCAUGGGCUGAAGCUUUCUUUCUGUCUGUGGUCCAUGCUGCAUCAUUUUGGGUUCUGUGUUCCCACGGAUGUUUGAAUGUAAAUGACAAUUAUCAUCAACACCCCUGAGAUGGACUUGUUAUCACUCGCAUUUCAUUUAUGUCUGGCACAAGGCAAUACAGGCACUAAUAUUUUAACAAGCCUCACACCUUGACUACCCUGGCUGCUGUGGAAGAGUGUGGCUUUCCCCCACGUCUUUAAAACCAGCCCUGCACUUAUCAUCUCUCUUCCUAAACUGACUCUUUACCAGUCUGUGGACAAGGGCAGCCUGGAGUGGAUUUCAGGAACAUGCUGGAUGAGUUGCUGGGGUUCCUGUGAAGAAAUCAUGCACAGAGUGGAGAAGGACAGCAUAUUGAACUGGAACAUGUAUAAUGAUAUUGAAACAUGAACACUUAACUACAUUUCAGAAUCAGAAGCAUUCAGACACACAUUCUUUUCAUAUGUAUGGCUAGUGGAUACAAUCCAAUGUUCCAUUCUUGUGUCUAUAACAAUCCUUUGUCACUAGGUUUAGCUGCGGGACAAUGACCUCCAGGACUUAGUGACAGUUUGAGGAACAGGCGGAUCACAACAGUUAGGUACACGCUGUGCAUGCAGCUCAGCACACAGCAAUGAGACCAGAUGCAGGGUUCAGCACCCCUGACUCUGAAACAACAAAGCAGGCAAUGCGUGGCUGAGGUGAAAUAGACGUGACUAAUACACUAACAGAAAUGAAUUAUUUUUAGACGUUAGACAGAAGAAUGAGAAAGCCAAUGCUACUCACAGCCUCACUGUGCAAGGCGUAUGCAGUGUUUAAUUUUAGCAUGCAUAGCGAGGUGACAGAAUGACAGAGAACCUUGCUUAAGCAAACCACAGUAUUUAAAACAGAAAUGAUAAAAGACCAUCAAUACAAAACAUGUCCGGUGGUGAUGGCCCUGAUGAAAAAAAAAAACAGUGAGCUGAGAUCAUAGAUAAGAGACAACACAACCACACAAAUACAUAUUGUACACUUUAGAACAAUGAAGUUAAGUACAUACAGAGCAAUGCUGAAGGGGCUGUAGCUCAGACUUCAAGUAAGUUUUCUAACUAGACUGAUGAUUCAGAAUGUAACGUCUGGUUUGAACCCCUUUCAAAGGUUAUCGAUAUUUGCACUUUUAUUUUGUUUUUAAGCCACUCCAGUGUGGCUUUGGCUGAUGUUUGGGGUUAUUGUCCUGCUGGAAGACAAAUCUUCUCCAAGUCCCAAGUCUUUUGCAGACAUCAGCAGGUUUUCCUCCAGGAUUUCUCUGUACUUUGCUGCAUCCAUUUUGC